AGAAAGAGAAUGGAAAAGGGAAAAUGUGAGCACAGAGAAAUUGGCACUGAUUUCCAUCACAAAAAGAGACUCUACAAAGCUCUGGAGGAAAGUUAUACCACCGCAUAGGCUGAUGUUGGGUUUCGCACAUCUACAAUCACAGAGCUUGGACUAGCCUACAUAUGUAACAAUGUUAAACUGAGUGCAUGUCUUUGUAUAUGAAGAAGGAACCUAAGUGUGUUU